rnacentral:rRNA from 1 species
AAAUAACAAUGCAGGGCCUUACGGUCACUGCAAUUGGAAUGAGUACAAUUUAAACCACUUAACGAGAAACAAUUGGAGGGCAAGUCUGGUGCCAGCAGCCGCGGUAAUUCCAGCUCCAAUAGCGUAUAUUCAUGUUGUUGCAGUUAAAAAGCUCGUAGUUGAACAUAAGAUGCGGCGGGGCGGUGCGCUUCGGCGCCACUGUCUCGCUAUAGCGUCUAGAAUGCGUGGCGCAGCACUUGUGCUGGCAGCCCGCGGGUUACUGUGAGGAAAUUAGAGUGUUUAAAGCAGGCGUUUGCUUGAAUACUGCAGCAUGGAAUAACGAGUAGGACUCCGGUUCUGCUUUGUUGGUUUGAGGGCCAGAGUAAUGGUUAAUAGGAACAGUUGGGGGCAUUAGUAUUCAGUAGUCAGAGGUGAAAUUCUUGGAUUUACUGAAGACUGACUAGUGCGAAAGCAUUUGCCAAGGAUGUUUCCAUUAAUCAAGAACGAAAGUUAGGGGAUCGAAGACGAUUAGAUACCGUCGUAGUCUUAACUGUAAACUAUGCCGACUAGGGAUCGGUGGCUGUCGUCAUGACACCAUCGGCACCUUGUGAGAAAUCAAAGUUAUUGGGUUCUGGGGAGAGUAUGGUCGCAAGGCUGAAAUUUAAAGGAAUUGACGGAAGGGCACACCAAGAGUGGAUUCUGCGGCUUAAUUUGACUCAACACGGGAAAACUCACCAGGUCCGGACAUAAGAAGGAUUGACAGAUUGAAAGCUCUUUCUUGAUUUUAUGGGAGGUGGUGCAUGGCCGUUCGUAGUUGGUGGAGUGAUUUGUCUGGUUAAUUCCGAUAACGAACGAGACCUAAACCUGCUAAAUAGGGGCGGGCACGCGAGUGCUGCGCACCUUCUUAGAGGGACUGAAUACGUUUAGUAUUCGGAAGUUUUAGGCAAUAACAGGUCUGUGAUGCCCUUAGAUGUUCUGGGCUGCACGCGCGAUACAAUGGCCUAGUCAGCGAGUAUACCACCUUGACCGGAAGGUCUGGGUAAUCUUUUGAAACUAGGCCGUGCUGGGGAUAAACCAUUGCAAUUAUUGGUUUUCAACGAGGAAUUCUUAGUAAGCGCAAGUCAUCAACUUGCGUUGAUUACGUCCCUGCCCUUUGUACACACCGCCCGUCGUUACUACCGAUUGAAUGGCUUAGUGAGGC